CUACGGGGCGCACCAGUCGAGAAUCUUUUACAAUGCGCGCAAGCGUGAUAGAGCGAACCAGAGUGCUUCUCAUCGAGAAGCUUUUGUGAAAUCUAAAAAGUUUCACGAAUAAGGACUGGGUAAGACGAGUGCCAGCCGCCGCGGUAAUACUCGCGGUCCAAGUCGCAGCCAUUUUUAUUGGGUCUAAAACAUCCGUAGCUUGUUUGAUAAGUUUCCUGUGAAAUUCUAUAUCUUAAGUAUAGAGCGAGCGAGAAAUACUAUUAAACUAGAGACUGGAAGACGUAAGAAGUACGUUCGAAGUAGCGGUAAAAUGUGUUAAUCUCGGACGGACUCACAACAGCGAAGGCAUCUUACGAGGACAGUUCUGACAGUAAAGGAUGAAGGCUAGGGGCGCAAAACGGAUUAGAUACCCGCGUAGUC
rnacentral:rRNA from 1 species